GACGAACGCUGGCGGCGUGCCUAAUACAUGCAAGUCGAGCGGACUUUCAAGAAGCUUGCUUUUUGAAAGUUAGCGGCGGACGGGUGAGUAACACGUGGGCAACCUGCCUGCAAGACGGGGAUAACUCCGGGAAACCGGGGCUAAUACCGGAUAAUAUCUUCCUUCGCAUGAAGGAAGGUUGAAAGGCGGCGCAAGCUGCCGCUUGCAGAUGGGCCCGCGGCGCAUUAGCUAGUUGGUGAGGUAACGGCUCACCAAGGCGACGAUGCGUAGCCGACCUGAGAGGGUGAUCGGCCACACUGGGACUGAGACACGGCCCAGACUCCUACGGGAGGCAGCAGUAGGAAAUCUUCCGCAAUGGACGAAAGUCUGACGGAGCAACGCCGCGUGAGCGAAGAAGGUCUUCGGAUCGUAAAGCUCUGUUGUCAGGGAAGAACAAGUACCGUUCGAACAGGGCGGUACCUUGACGGUACCUGACCAGAAAGCCACGGCUAACUACGUG
rnacentral:rRNA from 1 species